CAUCGGUUCAAUUUUGCUACUAGAAGCCCAGAUAGACUUCCCAGCACUCCUCCUGCUCCGCCUGUGACAGGCACACUGCCUCCCUGGGGCAGCCUGACUGACAACGUGAUGUAAUCCUCUGCCUUCGACUUUGGGUCGGAGGAGCUCCCACCCUCCCCUCUCUCCAAACUGAUCUCCAAGUCUGCUGGGUGUCAUCCCUGGCCAGUGUGUCUGGUGGCCGACAUACCGCUGCAUGUGUGUUCCCACCCUCCUCGGAGCUACAUCCAGCAGACUCUCAUGGACCCUAUAGGGAGCACACCCACCCAACUUCUGGGGCUGCCUUGCUUAACUCGACCCCUGCAUCUCAGUUUCACAUGAGGACAAAGGAAAGCUAAGCCGUGCUCUGUUCCAGCCUUGUCCAAGUCACGUCUAAGUCAUUCUGUUAUUGUUUUUCUCUCCAGUCUCAUAAAUAAGGCCUCGCUAAUGGCAGGGAGGGAAUCCAGAGGGCAGGAACAGCAUUACAUCAUCACAUUACCUACGCUGAUGCAUUUCCAAGGCCAACAAACUCAAUUAGCUCAUUGAUAAUAGCUGUACCAGCAGUGGGACUCCUGCAGCCAAGUCUAUUGUUCCGAGGAAGGACCGGAAAACAAAUGACAGUGCAGUCCGCCAUGCAGAGCCACCGGCAAACUAACCCAAAGUUGCAGCUCCAUACCACGUGAGGUUCACUUUAAAUAAUUUUGAGCUGCUGCUUAUGUUGAGU
rnacentral:lncRNA from 1 species